AACAUUUCUAAAUCUCAGAAAUGUAAUAGAAACUAACCCAAAUGUUUUUCAAGUGCAUGUGAUCUAGGAUAAUUUUCAUUUAGUAAAAAUGAGCUUAGGUUUGUUGGUUUAAUAAAAUUAGACAUGUCUUUAGCAUUACCAACAUUAAGUAUCCUUUAUAUUCUACCCAAGGUGACUAAGAAUAAGCUCAUCUUAACCACUGUUACAAAAUUUGUCAAUAAUAACUUGGUAUAGUAAAGAUCUUUACUUAAAAAUAGCAUCCAAAAUCUUUUUGAUAACCUGAAACCUUAAAAUUUUGCUAAGUUAAAUUAAGUGAUGGGAGUUCAUUGAAUAUCUAAAUCAUUUCCAAAUAAGAUAUAAUUACUAGGCAAGUCUAAAUUUACAUACUUUUGUCUCCUUAUUACAGAGAAACUAAAGAUAAAUUUGGUCUAUUGGUAAACAUGUUUUGUACUUAAUUGAAAGACCGUACUAUGAAGAAGCAAGUUUCUAGAAAUUACGAAAUGUAGUCUUAAAUUUGCCAUUAUAAAGAAUACUGGUGCAACAGACAGUUCACAAUUGCUUACUACUUAUUUUUCACUAGAAAUUAAGGUUUCUAAAAAUUAAGAAUUCUCAUAAAUGUUAUUAAAGCCACUAGAAAUAAGGGAAACAUCUCUGCGAGAAGAAAAGUAGGAUGUGUCGUUUUGGUAAAAGAAGGUGUGAAGAAUCAAAACACAUUUUUCAUUGAAGUGAAAAGAAAGUAAUUUUGUCCCACAGGUGAGAGGCUGGUUUUUUAAAGAGGGACAAUUUAGGACAAAAUCUGAAUGUUAGUUUGUUGAAAAAGAAUGUUAGUGUGUGAUCAAGCUGGUGAAAAUUAAAAUUAAUUUAUUUAAAAAUGAUUUCAAUGUCAAAAGUAAGCUUUAAUAUCAAUAAUAAUCUUAUAUAAAACUGAAACUUCUUCUUUGUGUGAAAGAACAGAGUUUUCUUGAACUAUUGGUCUGCUUAAUAUUAAGAGAUUGUGAAGGGUUUUCCUUGUCCUUAGUGUUUUUGUUUUAUCAGAAUAAUUUCUUGUGCUUCUCAUUGUCUUAAUCAGGUCUUUGAUUUCUUAAGAAAACCGAGUCUCUUCAAUAGCCAAUAUAUCUAUAAAGAGAUUAUGGCACAUGUAAAUGAAGUCCAUUCAGCUUCUGCAAAAUUUGACCUUUUAUUGCCAGACUUUUGCCAUUCUGAUAUUCCUGUGAUGUAGCAACAGUCUUCACCAGAGUCAGAGAAAUUAAGCUAAGCAAACAAUGAUUGCAAAUUAAACAGUCAGGGCUAUGGGAACCCCAAGAUGUCUGCGGUCCCUUCCUGGAUCCCUGUCAGACUCCUUUUUUCUUUUGGUUUUUGCAUUUCUUCACUCACUUAGUGCCUUUAAGGAGAAACCAUUUUGAUUUCCAGAGGCCUCAGACCUCCUCUCACUGGACUCUGUGAACACCUGCAGCUGAACUUCAACUGCCACUUAGUAUAUAGGUUAUAAAAUGUUCUUAUUAUUGUACUCUGUUUUCCAGAGAGUUGAAGCCUUCCUUUGUUACACGGUUGGUGCCCUCACAGUAACAAAGAAACUGUUAGAACAUGUUUCCACUUAGGGUAUACAUUCUGUAAUCUCCAAUGAUAGGGGUCCUCACUUCACUGUGCAAAUCAUAUAAGCUUUAAGGAAAGCCCCGCAAACUUCUGGACCUCAAUCUUAAAGUUUCUGAACUUGCAAAAACGACUGGACUUCCCUGACUAAGGUAUUGCCUUUGGUUUUGCUGACUGUUCACAGUACCAGCUUUUGAAAACAUAAACUCACUCCAUGUGAGAUAGUUAGCAGCAGAACAAUGUCUAUUGGUGUACAACCUUUGUUGGUCCCUUGUUGUAUAUCAUGCUAAAAUGCAAGUGUCUAAUGUAUUAUGCCCAAGCAUAUCGUCAGCAGGUAAAAGAAGCCUUACCAGAACCCAGUUCAAAGGAUCCAGUUGGUCACAGACUAGAGCCUGGCGACCGGGUAUACUGGAAACAUCAGAGGAAGAGAGCUCUUGAGUCACCCUGGGAAGGACCUUUCUGAGUGCUCCUGACCACUGACACUGUUGCAGAAUUAGAGGGCAUUGAAACCCGGAUACACAUCUCACAACUAAAUGCGGCUCACAUUGACACCUGGUCUUGAACAGACACAGGAGACCACCUGUGAAUCAGAUUGAGGAAGAGAAGCUGACAUUGGUGUAGACUGCUUCAUCCCAAGAUGAUGGAUCAAGACUAUACUUCAACUAGAUGUUUAAAUGCAGUUAAACAACUAACUACCAAACAGAUGACCUCCCUGAUACUGGAACUUAAGAGGAGAAUUGAAGAGAAUGACCGACUUAAGGCUCUCAUUGAAUCUGAAUUAACCUGUGAAUAUCACAGAGGUAAAAGCACAAAUGUCAUGACCCAUGGACACCACCACAUAAGAGAAGCUAGAAAAGCUGCAGCAGCUACAGAGCAGUAACUGACAGUGGCGCUGACGCCUGACAUUCUGAUCACAUCUCUCCGUCAGGCUGAGAAUCUGAUCAUAAGGGAGGGAACCGUUAAAAAGAUAGACACAGGCCCAACCUGGGGUCACUUCUGUUAGGCAAAGUCACCAAACUGGGGCUUAAUACCUCACCUAGCUGCAGUUUCAACCUCCCCCAGAUUGUAGUCAGUCAGGAAUUUUCUGGUAAGCAUCAAUAAGAAAAUGUCAUCUGGGCCCUCUCCAUUCCCCAAAGGAAUCAACCUAAUAAGGCCCUUUUGUCCCCAGAUGGAGGUGACCUCUGAAACAACCCUUUUUGCUGUUUAUGACUUCCUUGUCUUGCCUUUAAAAACCUUUCUGUUGCCCUUCGGAGCAUUACUCUACUUGCUAGGUGGGAUGCUGCCUGAUCCAUGAAACACUUAAUAAAGCCAAUUAGAUCUUCAAA